GUAUUGUCUUAAAGCAUGGAUGUACUGUGUACUUGUAAAGUGAAAAUGGAGGAAAAUGAUCCUAGCUCGGUAAACCAUUGCAAAAAUGAUGAUCCAAAUUCAUUUUCUGAACCUAAUUCUCCAACUCUGGAAACAGUCUCUGGCUUUUCAACAUGUUCUUCCCCAGUGCCUCCAGAGCCAUUUGAACCUUUGUUUUCUGUUAAGUUUUCAGGCACUGUUGAGAAAGAUGGGGAUAUUGUAAAGUACACCAUUAAGUCAAUAAAAAAGAAUGGUGAUGUUAGUUAUGUAGUACAAAGACAGUAUGAAGAUUUUGAAUGGCUUGAACAUUGUUUACUGACAUCAAAUCCUUUACCUGGUCUUAUUAUUCCUCCUUUACCACCAAAACCUGCAAUAACAUCUGAAAUGGCUGAAGCCAAAUCUAAGAGGCAGCUUGGGAGUGAUACAAAGACCCUCAUUGGAGACCAGUUUAACAAAGACUGUUUACAGUUAGAACAAUACCUCCGUCUUCUUCUUUCUCACUGCUUAUUUGGGCGUGAUGAGAUCUUGGAAAAAUUCUUGACUGAAAAAGAACCUCCACCUCGUGCUAAAGUAAAAAGAGGUAUUUUUUCAAGAAUAUCUGAAUCAUUCGAAGGGAGAAAAAGUUCUCAUCGGGACUGUGAAGAGUUCUUUCAGAAAGAAAGAGACUGCAUAUCUAAAUAUAGUGUACAAAUUAAAGAAACAAAUGAGGCAUUUUGUUCUGUUGUGUAUUCUCAACAAAGACUAUGCAAUGUUCUAGGCCACCUUGCUACAGCAUUAACACUCGCCCAGUGUUCUAAUGAGAAUGCUGCCAAGUUAGGAAAUAAGUUAUGCAGCUUAUUUUCAGAAGCCUUAGAAGAUGCAAGACAUGGUCUCCAAGUCUUGUCUUACAAUGACGAAAACACCCUGGGUGCCUACUUAGAUCUUUAUACUCGGUAUAUUGAAUCAGAGAAAGAAAUGCUCUUGCAACGGACAUGUUUAUUAGUUGAAUAUGAGAAUGCGAACAAAGCAUUAGAUAAAGCCAAACCUCAAAAGAAAGCAGCUGCAGAAGAAGCAAAGUUUGCAGCAGAAAAAGCAUUUGAAGACUGUUCAGAUGUUGCUAGACAGGAAAUAAAAAAAUUCCACAGACAAAGGGUAAAAAUGUUUCAAGAAAGCUUAGAAAAAUUUGCUGAAGCCCAAUUACGAAAUGCAAGAGAUGUUACAGCAAUGCUUGCAAAAUCAUUAACGAAAAUUAAGCAAUUUGAAAUCGAUCUAUAAUGAAAGGUGGCUGCUGAAGACUCUUUUUGAGUUUAUUAGGUUGAGAAGACAGGAUGAAUUGUCAAGCUUGGUACCUUUGGAGACAUCAGUUGCUUUUCUGUUUCAAAAAGCUAUUACAGACCAUUACUUCCUGUCUCUAUCUUUGCUCUGUCUUUGAAAUAAAUACAGCUGUUUAUAAAAUAGUUGCAACAAAGACCAUUAUUACAAAUAGGAAGAAGUGAGUUUAUAGGAAACAGCCUUUUGAAGUACUUUUAAAGUAACUGGAUUGGUCUGAAAAAAUAAUGAAAUUGAUUACAAGUUGAAAUCGAAUUUGGAAUGGCGAUUAUAGGUUAUAUAGAUCACCUAAUCAGUGCUUGAUUCUUGAACUCUAGCUACAGUUAUUUGUAAAAUGUAUGAAAAUAAUAGAUACUUAUUGUACAAAUGGAUGUUUGACAUUUUUUCAAAUAAAAUAUUUCAAUUUUUAUUAAUAA